CGUCGAGCGGAUGAAGGGAGCUAGCUCCUGGAUUCAGCGGCGGACGGGUGAGUAAUGCCUAGGAAUCUGCCUGGUAGUGGGGGAUAACGUCCGGAAACGGGCGCUAAUACCGCAUACGUCCUGAGGGAGAAAGUGGGGGAUCUUCGGACCUCACGCUAUCAGAUGAGCCUAGGUCGGAUUAGCUAGUUGGUGGGGUAAAGGCCUACCAAGGCGACGAUCCGUAACUGGUCUGAGAGGAUGAUCAGUCACACUGGAACUGAGACACGGUCCAGACUCCUACGGGAGGCAGCAGUGGGGAAUAUUGGACAAUGGGCGAAAGCCUGAUCCAGCCAUGCCGCGUGUGUGAAGAAGGUCUUCGGAUUGUAAAGCACUUUAAGUUGGGAGGAAGGGCAGUAAGUUAAUACCUUGCUGUUUUGACGUUACCAACAGAAUAAGCACCGGCUAACUUCGUGCCAGCAGCCGCGGUAAUACGAAGGGUGCAAGCGUUAAUCGGAAUUACUGGGCGUAAAGCGCGCGUAGGUGGUUCAGCAAGUUGGAUGUGAAAUCCCCGGGCUCAACCUGGGAACUGCAUCCAAAACUACUGAGCUAGAGUACGGUAGAGGGUGGUGGAAUUUCCUGUGUAGCGGUGAAAUGCGUAGAUAUAGGAAGGAACACCAGUGGCGAAGGCGACCACCUGGACUGAUACUGACACUGAGGUGCGAAAGCGUGGGGA
rnacentral:rRNA from 1 species